rnacentral:rRNA from 1 species
GGAAUAUCGCACAAUGGGCGAAAGCCUGAUGCAGCAAUGCCGCGUGUGUGAAGAAGGCCUGCGGGUUGUAGAGCACUUUUAUCGGGAAAGAAAAAGCCAGGGCUAAUACCCCUGGCCUUGACGGUACCCGUUGAAUAAGCACCGGCUAACUCCGUGCCAGCAGCCGCGGUAAUACGGAGGGUGCAAGCGUUAAUCGGAAUUACUGGGCGUAAAGCGAGUGUAGGCGGCAACGUAAGUCGGAUGUGAAAGCCCUGGGCUUAACCUGGGAAUGGCAUUCGAUACUGCGUAGCUUGAGUUUGACAGAGGGAUGUGGAAUUCCGGGUGUAGCGGUGAAAUGCGUAGAUAUCCGGAGGAACACCAGUGGCGAAGGCGGCAUCCUGGGUCAAAACUGACGCUGAGGCUCGAAAGCGUGGGGAGCAA